AACGCACGAGACCUGCGGACCUGCGGAGGGAUCAUUAGUGAACGCCCUCACGGGCUUAUAACUAUUCCAAACCUCUGUGAACCGUGCCCUUCGGGGCUAUUUUACAAACAUGGUGUAAUGAACGUCAUAUAUCAUAACAAAACAAAACUUUCAACAAUGGAUCUCU
rnacentral:misc_RNA from 1 species